rnacentral:lncRNA from 1 species
AAAUUGGCUUCUUGCAAGCUCAGAACAUUACCUGAUCUUAGCAGCCAGUCAAUGUUGGUAAUUUUAGACCUUUCCCAAAACCAAAUUCCGGGGAAAAUACCAAAUUGGAUUUGGAAGAUUGGUAAUGGCUUUCUUUCUCAUUUGAAUCUCUCUCAUAAUUUACUGGAGGGUUUGCAGGAACCUUUGUCCAAUCUUCCUCCGUUUCUGUCUACCCUUGACCUUCAUUCCAACCAGCUCCGUGGGCCAAUCCCCACUCCACCAUCUUCCACCUAUGUGGAUUACUCAAACAACAGGUUCACCUCUUCCAUUCCCGAUGAUAUUGGUACUUACAUGAACGUCACUGUUUUCUUCUCUCUUUCAAAGAAUAACAUCACUGGAAUUAUUCCUGCAUCAAUCUGCAAUGCCCAUUACCUGCAAGUUCUUGACUUUUCUGACAACAGUUUAAGUGGCAAAAUACCCUCAUGUUUGAUUGAGAACGGGGAUCUUGCAGUGCUGAAUCUACGGAGAAACAAGUUUAAGGGCACUAUACCUGGGGAAUUCCCAGGUCACUGUCUUUUACAGACCCUAGAUCUCAAUGGGAAUCUUUUAGAAGGAAAAAUUCCAGAGUCUCUGGCCAAUUGCAAAGCAUUAGAGGUUUUAAACCUUGGGAACAAUCGGAUGAAUGAUAUCUUUCCUUGCUGGUUGAAGAACAUUAGCAGUCUGCGUGUUCUUGUUUUGCGAGCCAACAAAUUCCAUGGACCCAUUGGAUGUCCAAAUAGCAAUUCCACCUGGCCAAUGCUUCAAAUUGUCGAUUUAGCUUGGAACAAUUUUAGCGGUGUGUUGCCAGAAAAAUGUUUCUCAAACUGGAGAGCAAUGAUGGCAGGUGAAGAUGACGUCCAAUCCAAGUCCAAUCACCUGCGAUUUAAGGUCCUAGCAUUCAGUCAAUUGUACUAUCAGGAUGCAGUAACAGUUACCAGCAAAGGUCAAGAAAUGGAGCUUGUGAAGGUCCUAACUCUCUUCACUUCCAUUGAUUUCUCAUGCAAUAAUUUCCAAGGGGACAUACCAGAAGAUAUAGGAGACUUGAAGUUACUUUAUGUUCUCAACUUAUCUGGUAAUGGUUUCACAGGCCAAAUCCCAUCAUCACUAGGACAGCUGCGACAGCUUGAGUCAUUAGACCUCUCACUGAACAAGCUGAGCGGGGAGAUCCCUGCACAGCUCUCGAGCCUAAAUUUCCUUUCGGUCCUGAACCUCUCUUUCAAUGGAUUGGUGGGAAGGAUCCCUACAGGUAAUCAAUUGCAAACAUUUUCAGAAAAUUCAUUUGCAGGUAACAGAGGAUUAUGCGGCUUCCCUUUAAAUGUAAGUUGCGAAGAUGCUACACCACCCACGUUUGAUGGCAGGCACUCAGGUUCCAGGAUAGCGAUUAAGUGGGACUACAUAGCUCCUGAAAUUGGAUUUGUGACAGGGCUGGGAAUCGUGAUUUGGCCUCUUGUGUUGUGUAGGAGAUGGAGGAAAUGCUACUACAAACAUGUUGAUGGAAUUCUUUCAAGGAUUCUCCAUCAGAAAAACCAAGGAAGAGAAAGUGGUGGAAGACGAGGUCACGGAAUUCGGAGGCGGAGAAUGUAGCACUGAUGAAGAGGGAUGUGACCACUGGCCAUGAGUCUAUUUCCAUUAAUUCAAUCCGAAACAUUAAAAAGGGGUCCAUAAUAUUAUUUAAGUAAAUGUAUAAUUUUAUAUUUGGACAAUGCCAUGGUGUAGAUUUUUAUAGUAACGUUACUCUUACCUUUAGUGAUGCGAGUAUCAUGGUAUAUAAAUAAACGGUUUUUAUAUAAUAAAGAAUUUAAGUUGUAAAACCACUCCAUGAAAGCUUUCCUACAAAUAUAACAUGUUAUAUUUAAGAAAUUUGAAACAAAGCUAUAGAAAAUUGUUUUUACAUAUUAAAUAGAAAAUAUCUUUUCUACCCAUGUCCAGAAAUGCUUUUUAUGUACAGCCACAGUCUAUAACCAUUUUAAACCUACCCAAAUUAAAAUUCUAACUAGGGUGAUUCAGGGAGCCACUCAAGCUGGGCUGGAGAAUGGGUAAAGAUAUGUUGGCUGGAUGUGGGCCCGAGUUGGGCUAAACUUCGUUGGGUGGAUUUCUGUUGGUAUUAAAAAAUAUGGGCCUGGUUGUUACAAACGAAGACCCCCAAUGAGGGAGCUAGGUCCAUAUUCAGCCCAAUCAGCACAUCUGAAGCCAUAAGGGAUUUAACAACAUGAGCUUGAAAACUAAAACCCAAAACCAUUCCCUAAAUUAUCAAAAUCCAUGUCCAGCUUGGCAUUCAAAUUGAAUUUCCCUAAGCAGGUUCAAUCUCUCCUUCCCUAUUUCACCCUUUAUGAAUCCAUGACCUUCACAUCAUACCCCGCAAAUGACUGUACAGUUUUUGGGUUUGUUUUUGCCUUCCUAAUCAACUUUUAUGUUAAGGUAAAGAAUUCAUUUGGGUCUUCACAUAGUAGUUUAUCUAUCAUUUGUAAUUAUUGUGAGAAAAGAUUAUAUAAUUUCACUUCUUUUUUUUUUUUUUCAUCUAGUUUUAGGAUGCAUUGGUACAUGGAAAUGAAAAUGGAAAUAUGAUGGAAAUGGAGGUAAAUAAUAAGUGAGAGUAAAAUUUAGUUUCCAUGAUAAUGAAUCUUUUUAUUCCUAUUUUCAUUCUAAGAAACUAUUCAACCACAUUAAUGAAAGGAAAAUUGAAUUGAUUUCUCAUUCCUUAUUUUGCUAUUCCAAACAUGGCUUUUAAUCUAUUUUACUUUUAAAAGAAAGAAAAACUUAUCUUUAAGGACUCAAGGAUGUACCAAACGUAAUUAGAGUUGGUAAGUAGUUAAUAGAUUGUCCAUUGUUUGUAACUAAUUAGAAGGUUGUAAGUUAUAUAAUUUGUGGCUACUUAUUAGUGUUGCUGUGUGGUUGUUCAAUUUUUUAGUUUUUAUUUUUUUUAUCAAUUUUCUCUCAAACAAGUGCUCUGGAUCUCUUACGUACUCUCUCCAUAUUGAUUGUUUUGUACGUAGCUACCAAAGAGUUUUAGAAAGUGUAUGCUUGAGGCACAUAACAUGAGAUCUUUCAAAGUUUGCAAAUCAUAACAAAAAAAGAUAUGUAGAUUUGUGACACUUUGAGGUAAUGAGACAUUGGAGAUGGAAAUAUUGAAAAUGAUGUCUCUUCUCUCAUUAAAAUUUUUCUCUUGGUUGAAAAUUUAUAGCACAAUUUAUUGAAUAUUAAUUAAUUUUGUGACAAAGAUUUUUAUAUUAUUUUUUUUUUUACUUAAUUUGUUGUAUUAUUAAAGAUAUUCAAAAUGAUGAAAUCAUUUCCUGAGGGUCAUAAAAAUAAAACGGUUUAUACUACAAAACAUAAUAAAAAAUAUAAUUAAUGACCAUGAAAUUUUUUUUCUAUAUAUGAUUAAUUCGAUUUGAAGACUAAUAUAAGUGUUUAAUCAUCUCUAAUCUUACAUAUUCAUCCCAAUGUUACUUUUUAAUAAGCCUUUUUCCUAGAGUCAACAAUCUCUCCCCUAAGAUAGAGCUCCUAUAAUUCGAACUCAUGAUCUAAUUUUGAUAUCACUUGUUAAGAUCAAGAACUUAGCUAUAUUAUCUUUGAAAAUCAAUUUGCUAUCAAUGAGGUCAUCCUAAUCCUUUUUAUGUGGUUCUCGUUCGUACUCAUCUUGAGACUUAACCAUCUCGAGUGAAAUAUUGGUGCCUUAGCAUCUUCCGCUUUACACAUUUUUCAAUAGCCAUUUUUUGUAAGAAGCAACAAUAUUAUUGCACACUUAACAACUUUCUCCUUCCUUUGUCUUACGUAGUUUGAUGCUUUGAUAGGACAAUGACCAGAACCGGAGAUUAGAGGAUGACCAACAAUGACCACCUUUUUGAUGCCCUAAUUCAUGAAUAACUAACAUGCUUUGAUACUAUUUUGAAUCUUUGAUACUCUGAUUCACCAAUGGCCUUCAAACUGACGAGUUGAUUCCAUUUCAAAUUAGUGUGUUAAUGAUGCUGAUGCUGUUCUGAUUAGAGGAAGCUGAUGGUGCUCGAAUUUGAAGCUGGGGAUUCUGUUGCAGGGUACUGAUUAUACCAGUGCUAUAAUAUGGUAGUGAUUUUGUUUAUUGGAGAAGGAGAUUUUGAAUAUUUGAUCGAUGCUGCUAGUUGAAAGGUAUUUUUGAUAUUUAAAUAUUUUUGAUGAAUAUGCUCCAAUCCAGGACAUUGUUUGAUCAAUAGGCCCAAUACGUAAUUUCCUAGUUUGUUUUUUAGUAAUUGGAAGUAAAGAGAAAUUUGAGGGUGUGCAAACUUAAGGGUAAGUGAGUUUGACAUUACAAGUGGCUAUUGUGAAAAUUUAUGUAGAAUCUAUUAUUUUUUAAUUUUUUAUAAUUAUUUUAAUUUUAAUAAUAUAUAAAUUAUGUGUUUAUAGCAUUAUCAAUUUGAUCAAAGUUCAAUGAAUAGUUUGACUGUUGAACCGUAAAUCAAUGACUUUUUCAAUUUAGUUCUCUAAAAUAUUAAACAUUGCAAAUGGGAGUACAUAUUAAUUAAAAAACAAACAAACAAAACUUAUCUUUACGUCAAGAACUUCAUAUUUGCUCAUUUUAGGACUUUUAAUAAUGGAGGAACGUAUCAUGCAUUUGCCAUAAUGAAUGAUUUAGGUACAUAUGAGUUUUAUUUUUAAGUUAUAAAAAUGAACCUUCUCUUUUUCUGUCAAAAUCUUGCAAAAAGGUUAAAAAUGAAAAACAAAAAAAAAUUACAAUCACUUAUAAUCUGUAUUGAUCAUGGACAUAAUUUUUCUAUUUCUAAAACACCUUAAUAGAUAGGUUGUUGAAGAGAAAAAUAAAUCUAUAUAAGAAACGACAAAAACUUGGCUUAAUGAAAACAAUUUUUCUUAAUGAAAAUAGUUUUCUAAUUAUUUUGGGUGAAAGCAUUUAAUAUUACUUGCUAUAUUUUAAAUAACGUUUGAUAGAUAAACUCAUCAUUAGAGUUUUCAAGGUCUUUAUGUUCUUUACGUAAACUUUUUAAGAUGAUCUUUAAUAUUCUUUAUUCAGUAAUAAUGUUUUUGUUUUUAUUACUUGAUUUGUAUAUUAAAAAAGUAAUUAAGCUCCCUUACCAUAUGCUCAUUUCAAAUUCAUUUUCUAUAUAUAUACUAAGAGAAUUAUUGACAAAGAGAGAUGCUAGUAGCACUAAAUAUUAUGUUGUCAACAUAAAUUUAAACUAAGAGCAUGUCAUUACAUUUGGUUUUAAUAAAUAUUUUAGUGUCCAUUCUAUCCAUUUUUAAUCUAUUAUCAAGCAUAGUUUUGUUUACCCAAUUGAAUUAGAAGUGAACAUCAAAAUAUUUUUUUCCAAACUUUAUGAAAGUCACAAUAUGUAGCAUUUAACAUGUAUGAGGUUUACAUGUAACGGUCAAUAUUUUUACUCAACCUUGUUUGAAAUUAAUAUAUAAACUCAUAUUAUUUCAAAUGGGUAGAAUUUGUUUUGUGAAAAUUUCAAGGCAUGAAACAACUUCUCAUAUAAAUUAAAAAAGAAUAUGAAAAAACUUAAAUACAUCAUCCAUACUUUUUCAUACUAUUUUUUUUUUUAAUGAAAUGACUUAAAUAAAUUCAAGAGCAUUUACGUCCUUAAAAACGUGUUUAAAGAAAAUAAAAGAAGAAAAGAAAGCAAAAUAAAACAAAACUUAAAUACAUUAUCAAUGUAACUCAAAAAGAAAAGGAAAAAAAACUUAAAUAUAAUAUCCAUAUUUUUAUAUUGAACAAUUUUUCAUUAAAAUUAACUAAAUAAGUUUGAAUGCAAGUUCAAACUUAAUUUAAUCCUAAAAUUAACUAAAAUUUAAUUUUAAUGCUAGGUUCAUAGAAAAUGCUAGGUUCAUAGAAGAUGGUGAGGUUAAUUAGUGAGAGUCAAGAACUAUGUAAUAUGAUUAUUAAAGAAGUUAGAAUGCAACUUCCUUUAACCAAAACUUCAAAGAUUGUUGUUCCUUACAAUUAUUAAACAAUUUGAUAACAUUUAAAAACAAAAAGUGAAUGAUCCAACUUUUCAUAAUGAAAUUGCACUAAUUAACCCAUAGUAGAGGAAGGGCACGCGUGAAAUAGCAUCAAGGUCUCAAAACAAAGGAGAUUAUGCAAAUCAUGUGGUACAUCUAUAAGUCAAAAAUUUAACUUUUUCAUUUUUACAUGCCCUAAAAGAUAUUGAUUUAGUUAAUUAAAUGGACCAAUGUUAUGAAAUGGGCUAAAAUCAAUGAAACAAAAGUUGACAUAUUGUUGAAUUGUUUAGAAGUCAUAAAAAUUUCAGUGUAAAUAGGUCUUUAAAACCAUGAAUCUAGUAGAAAUGUUGACAAUAUAAAACCAUAAUUUUUGCCAAAGGUUUCAACAGAAAAAAAAAAAAAAAUGGCAUGAAUCACGAAUAUCCCUGUCUCACCCCAUCUCUAAAACACGUUCAUUUAGAAUCUUUAUGGCAUUGAUAGACUUGGAGUAACACAUUCAUUUUAAAAUGACUUAACGUAGCUAGGAAGACUUUGAGGUCUAAAGUUAUAGAGAAGUCAAUAAGCUCUUGGGAAAAACAUGAAGCACAUACGUCUUCUAUAGGACAAGAUAGGAGUAUUGUAUGUUCUCUUUGCCACAGCGACUCCUGUCACUCUCACAGCCAACUUCCAUGAUCCUUCCCACAGAAGUAUCAAAGUCGAGGUGGUCGACCAAGAUCUCUGUUAUAGUGUGAAUACCUUUACCACAAAGAGUUGUAAGAUAAGCAUGAAGAAUGUGUUCAAGAUACAUUUAGAAUGCUGUGUUGUUUAUGCAUAACUAGACACCCCCCUUUCUUUUUUCUUUCUGUUCAAACAUCUACAAAAAAAUAAAAUAAAAUAAAAUAAAAAAUCAUAUUAAACAUGUUUUGUUGUAGCAGUAUCUCCCAGCUGCUUCCAAUGAGAAUCCAAUUCUUUCAAUGGCUUUAUUUCUUGCCCUUAUGCUUAAUCGUUUUUGGUAUCCAUGUUGCUUUGGUGUCCGGGGAAUGUCUGAGUGAUGGGAGCACAUGCCUGGAGGAUCAGAUGUCCUUGUUGCUGCAACUGAAGAGCACCCUCAAACACAAUGUUGCUGCAUCAAGUAAACUAGUUUCCUGGAAUCCAAGCGGGGAUUGCUGUUCUUGGGGAGGUGUAACCUGGGACUCCAGCGGUCAUGUUGUCGGACUUGAUCUGAGUAGCGAAUUGAUUUCUGGGGGGUUCAAUAGUUCCAGUAGUCUUUUCAGUCUACAACAUCUCCAGCGCUUGAAUUUGGCUAACAACAGCUUCAACGAUUCUCAAAUUCCGUCUGGAUUCGGUAAGCUUGGCAAUUUGAUUUACCUGAAUUUGUCUAGCGCUGGGUUUUCUGGGCAGAUUCCAAUUGAGAUUUCACGCUUGACGAGGUUGGUUACUAUUGAUUUCUCUAUCCUUUACUUCCUUGGACUUCCUACGCUGAAACUCGAGAACCCAAAUCUGAGAAAGCUGCUUCAGAACCUCAGAGAGCUUAGAGAACUCCAUCUUAAUGGUGUAAAUAUAUCGGCUGAGGGGAAGGAGUGGUGCCAGUCAUUAUCAUCUUCAGUGCCUAAUCUCCAAGUGCUGAGCAUGCCAAACUGUUAUCUUUCUGGCCCUCUUGAUUCUUCCUGCAGAAGCUUCGGUCUCUCUCAAGCAUUCGCCUGGACAAUAAUAACUUCUCUGCUCCUGUUCCAGAAUUCCUUGCGAAUUUCUUGAAUUUGACUCUAUUGCGGCUCAGUUCUUGUGGAUUACAUGGAACCUUUCCAGAGAAGAUCUUUCAGGUACCAACCCUACAGAUUCUUGAUUUGUCAAACGACAAGUUACUACAAGGUUCUUUGCCGAAAUUCCCUCAGAAUGGAUCUCUAGGAACCUUGGUGCUCUCGGAUACAAAAUUCUCAGGGAAAGUACCAUACUCCAUAGGCAAUCUCAAGAGGUUGACUAGAAUAGAGCUUGCAGGUUGUGAUUUCAGUGGCCCAAUCCCAAACUCGAUGGCAGACCUUACACAACUGGUCUACUUGGACUUAUCUAAUAACAAGUUUUCCGGUUCAAUCCCACCUUUUAGUUUGUCCAAGAACCUGACCCGAAUAAACCUUUCUCAUAAUUAUUUAACAGGCCCGAUUUCUUCCUCUCACUGGGAUGGCCUAGUGAAUCUAGUGACUCUUGACUUGCGAGACAAUUCACUGAAUGGAAGUCUCCCCAUGCUCCUGUUUUCCCUCCCAUCACUGCAGAAGAUACAACUGAGCAACAACAAAUUUUCUGGUCCCUUGAGUAAAUUUUCAGUUGUGCCUUUUUCUGUACUGGAGACCCUUGAUUCGAGUAGCAACAAUCUGGAAGGGCCAAUACCUGUAUCUGUCUUUGAUCUCCAUUGUCUUAACAUCCUUGAUCUUUCUUCCAACAAAUUCAAUGGCACUGUUGAACUAAGCAGCUUUCAGAAACUUGGAAAUCUUAGCACUCUUAGUCUUUCAUACAACUUCUUGUCCACCAAUGCGAGUGUUGGUAAUCCCACUUCACCUCUGCUGUCGAAUCUUACCACAUUGAAAUUGGCUUCUUGCAAACUCAGUACAUUACCUGAUCUUAGCACCCAGUCAAGAUUGACACAUUUAGACCUUUCCGAUAACCAAAUUCGCGGGAGCAUACCUAAUUGGAUUUGGAAGAUUGGUAAUGGAUCUCUUAUGCAUUUGAAUCUCUCUCAUAAUUUACUGGAGGAUCUGCAGGAAACUCUCUAAUUUUACUCCUUAUUUGUCCAUCCUUGACCUACAUUCCAACCAGCUCCAUGGCCAAAUCCCCACUCCUCCCCAAUUUUCCAAAUAUGUGGAUUACUCAAACAACAGUUUCAACUCUUCCAUCCCAGAUGAUAUUGGUACUUACAUGUCCUUCACUAUUUUCUUCUCUCUUCCGAAGAAUAACAUCACUGGAAGUAUUCCUAGAUCCAUCUGCAAUGCAACUUACCUGCAAGUUCUUGACUUCUCUGACAAUGACUUUAGUGGCGAAAUACCAUCAUGUUUAAUUCAGAAUGAGGCUCUUGCAGUGUUGAAUCUAGGGAGGAACAAGUUUGUUGGCACUAUACAUGGGGAAUUGCUGCACAAGUGUCUUUUACGGACGCUAGAUCUCAGUGAGAAUCUUUUACAAGGAAACAUUCCAGAAUCUCUAGUUAAUUGCAAAGAGUUAGAGAUUUUAAACCUUGGGAACAACCAGAUUGAUGAUAUCUUUCCUUGCUGGUUGAAGAACAUAAGCAGUUUGCGUGUCCUUGUUCUGAGAGCCAACAAAUUCCAUGGAACCAUUGGAUGUCCCAAGAGUAAUUCUACCUGGGCAACGCUUCAGAUUGUCGACCUAGCCUUCAACAAUUUCAGUGGUAAGUUGCCAGCAAAAUGCUUAUCGACCUGGACAGCAAUGAUGGCGGGUGAAAAUGAAGUCCAAUCCAAGCUCAAAAUCCUGCAAUUUAGGGUUCAACAAUUCAGUCAAUUGUACUAUCAGGAUACUGUAAGAGUUAUCAGCAAAGGUCAAGAAUGAGUUGGUGAAGAUCCUAACUCUCUUCACCUCCAUUGACUGGUCGUACAACAAUUUUGAAGGGGAGAUACCAGAAGUGAUAGGGAACUUCACAUCCCUUUAUGUUCUCAACUUAUCGCAUAAUGGUUUCACAGGCCAAAUCCAAUCGUCAAUAGGGAAUCUGCGACAACUUGAAUCAUUAGACCUCUCGCAAAACAGGCUGAGUGGAGAGAUACCUACACAGCUUGCGAACCUAAAUUUCCUUUCAGUCCUGAACCUCUCAUUCAACCAAUUGGUGGGAAGGAUCCCUACAGGUAAUCAAUUGCAAACAUUUUCACCAAAUUCCUUCGUGGGUAACAGAGGAUUAUGCGGCUUCCCCGUAAACGUAAGUUGCGAAGAUGCUACACCACCGGCGUCUGAUGACGGGCACUCAGGCUCCGGGAUGGAGAUUAAGUGGGAAUACAUAGCUCCUGAAAUUGGAUUUGUGACAGGAUUGGGAAUCGUGAUUUGGCCUCUAGUGUUGUGCAGGAGAUGGAGGAAAUGCUACUACAAACAUGUUGAUAGAAUUCUUUCAAGGAUUCUCCAAGGAAGAGCAAGUGGUGGAAGAAGAGCUCACAGAAUUCGCCUCCGGAGGCGGAGAAUGUAGCCGUGGUGCAGAGGGAUGAAGUGAUUAGUCAAGAGUCCAUUUCCAUUAAUCCAAUCCUAUGUUUCAUUGAAGGAAUAUUAAAAAGGGGUCCAUAUUAUUGGAUGGGCCUUCAAUCCGUGUGUCAAAUGUAAUUCUGGCUUGCUUCUUAUAAAUUUAAUCGAAUGCAUAAUUUUAUAUUUGGACAAUGUCAUGGUGAAGUAGAUUUUCAAAGUAACAUUUUUCUUACCAUAUUCAGCCCAAUCAACACAUCUCAAGCCAUAAGGGAUACAACAUUGAUAAGCAAGUAAUUAUCAUACUAGGUGGUAAGGUGGCUGCCCAUCUACUUAUAAAAGUUUCAUCCUCUUACAGGCUUUCACAUUAAAUUUGGCAAUGGUUCUCACUUUAUUUUAUUUUUUACCACAUUUUUUUAUUAUUUUGUUAAUUUAUGGGAAGAAAAAAAUUUAUCAAUUUUUUUUAUAGUCCAUUGUUCCAAUGAAAUGAUUAAACAAUGAUAAGAGUAUGAGAUUUUCAAAAGUAGAAGGUCAAUCGAUAUAACUUGUAAAUUUUUAGAUUUUAAUGGAAUUUGAAAAGUACUAAUAUUAUCAUGCAAGUGAAAUAACAACAUGAACUUGAAAAAUUAAACCCAAAACCAUCUCUAAAAUUAUCAAUAUCCUGACCCAACUUCACAUUCAACUUGAAUCUCUUUAAACAAGUUCAAUCCUUUCUAUUUUUCAAUUUUCUUUCACUUUUUUUUUUCUUUCUAGAAUUAGACUCUUUAUGGGUACCAUGAAAAAGAUUGCUAGCUAGGAAUGUAAAGCAUGGUUUUUAAGAAUGAUAAGUGCUCAUAUAUAUUUUGAAUCAAAUUUAAGAGAAAGUUCAUUACAAUGAAUUGAUUUUCACUUAACUACUCAUAAUUCUAGUAUGAUACAAGGAUUCCAUAUAAUCCAAAUCAUAAAUCCAAAUAAGAACUUUAUGUCUAUGGGAAAUCUAAUAAGCUCUAAUUGAAGUCAUCUAAAUUUAUCAUUUGAUAUUUAAGCUCUAAUUGAAUCCAUUAGAAUUGUUAUUUGAAUUUUAGACAUAUUAGAUAUCAUUUAGACUUCUUUUAGAUAAUUCGUAUAUCUUGUUUUCCAGGAAAUUUGAUUUCUUUGUCCAAACUUGAUGUUUUCGAACAUACUUUCAAAUUUAAUUAGAAACAAAUGUCUCAAUUUUUUUCAAAUAAUCAUCUUUUCCAUUCUAAUAUCUUACAUGAUGAUUUGUAGAAGUUGAAACUCGAUAACCUUUUUACCAAGAUCCUUGUUACCUUGCACUAUAAUGUUUAGUAGAUAAGCUUUUAGUUUUCUAGUGACAUAAAUGUUGGAGAUUAGUAGAGAAUGAAAAUCUUCAAAACUUAGAUUUUAUUGAUACUCAACGUGUAUGUGGAUUGCAUUAGAGUAAAACCAACCAAACACACUAAGAAAUAAGCUACUAGGAAAAAAAUAAUAAAAAUUAUAUUAGAAAAAAAAAUCCAUAUGCAUUCGUAUAUAACGGAGCUUACAACCAAUCUACAAAUAUUAAUAAAAUAUUCGUAUACAAACGGAUUUUUCACUAGCCGUUGGAGCAUUUAAUGCUCCGUUAUCUUUGACCAGACAUCGAUCAAGAAGGCAAAUACCUCGACCAGGAAGGAAAGGCUAUUAGCAGAGAGAGAGAGAGAGAGAGAGAGAGAGAGUGUGUUUUUUGCUCCUCUCGACUAGAUCUCAAUCAAGAAGGAGUAAUCGGUCAACCAGUACCCUGGUCGGUUGAGCCGGUUUGGCCAGUGUCUCGACUGGUUCACCAUUUUUGGCCCAAAAAACCUAUAUUUUUUUGCUAUUUUCUCUUCUAACACUUAGGCAAGGUAUUUAGGUAAAUUAAUUUGCCAAUUUUGAAAUGAUUUGCCUAAGGUUCAUUUGAUAAAACUCGGGUUUUGAUGGAAAUGUAACUUUAAAGCAUAAACUGAGUUUUUCAAAUAUGCAUGAAAUGAUACGUAAAUCCUAAGUGCACCCAUGCAUUCAUCUUACAUAUGUUUCCUAUGAUUAAAGGUCUUCCAAAAGUCUUAAUCUUGCAUCCAUUAGGUCAUUUGAUGAAUUUCCAAACUGACAUUUGAAAUUGUUUAUAAUUCAAACCAAUUAGUAACUUAACCAUAAUUUGUUAUCAUCAAAACAUGAUUAGGAGAACCCUUGGGCUAACAAUCUCCCCCUUUUUUAUGAUGACAAACCUUGGUUAUCUAAGAGAAAAAGAAUCUCCCCCUCAAACCAAUCAUGGAUCAACAAUCAAAAUUUACGAAGUUAAAACCAAGAUAAUCAAGACAUACUAGAGAGAAUUUGCAAUAAGAAACAACGUAAGUCAUCAAAAAUAUAAGAAUAUCAUAUAUAAGUCAAUGUAUCAAUAUCCAGUAUAUACGAUCCAAGUGAUAUGACAAUGAUAUGCAUGUAAGUCUCCUAGAUCCUAAAAUAUCUCCCCCUUUUGGCAACAUAAAAAAUGAACUAAUAGGGUCUCGAAGGAAUCAAGGAUGAGGAAGUGGAGGAGAAAACACAGAGCGCAAAUAAGCCAUCAUAUUCUCAUGUUGACUCUCCAAACGAUCCUCAAUACGCUCAAUCCCCUAUUGGAGAUACUCAAACUGUGAAGUGAAGCCAACCUGAUGAUCCAUGCAAUCCUCCAUAAAGUAGAACCGUGUGUCACUGACUACAACAAGCUCCUCCAUAUGAGUGCUUAGAGAGCUAAUCUAAGCAGAUAAAUCCAUCCAUGGAGCAUGGUCAAGAGCAAGAGGUGUUUAAGCAAAUGGUAUCUCAAAAAGUGUAGGCUUAGUGAAUGCAAGUUCAAAGGAAGACUUAGUGAAUGACAAUUAAGUAUAUGGACCCGCUAUAAAAGUUGGCUCAAACAUCAUUGGCUCAGAGAAAGUAGUCUCAAACUGAACACCACUAACUGGAGUGGAGGAAUGUCAAGCUCGGGCUCUCUCUGUUGAUAGCCACUCUGAGGGUCUACUCCACACUCCAUCUUUUUAAUCUCUACCUCCUCCUCAACUCCGGGAUGUGCCUGUCCCUGUCCCCGAGCUUGUGUCGUUGCUCUCUUUGCUUUCCUUACCCAAGAACCAUUUGUGGCCUUCUCAAAUUUCAUCUUCCCCAUGGACUGAUCAUCAUACGUAUCAUAAGCGUUGGGGACCUCAAAGUUUGUCUCUCUGCUCAAGUCAAUGCCGACAUCCUUGCACACUCUAGUAAGGAAGUGACCAUAGGGGAGUACGCGAGUCGUGCUCUCGCAACAUGAGAUCAAGUGCAUCAUCAUCAAGUACCCCAAGUGGAUUCGUCUUCCAGUCAAAAUAGAGUCAAUAAGGAAUGCCUCAUAAUAAGAGACCUCAUCUCGGUGUCCACCCCGUGCAUAUGAUGUAGCACUUUGCUGAUGACCGUCAGGUUGUGUGCUGAGGGUUUGUCCAUCCCGUGGGCAUCUACAAGUUCACAAAUCCUCUUAAUGGCUCUAGGCUCAAAUCUUGGCACAAUGGGCCACAUUUUGGACUCAUAUACUUUGAGUCCAACUGGAGCAAUAUCGAAAAUACUACAAAUGCUCUUUAGUCCAGACGAAUCUUGACGCCUUUAACAGUAGAAAUGAUCGAGCCACCUGAUGAGAAUCAACAAGCAUUCGAGGAUCCAUUGUAUGUUCCAGUUGGGCCUAUUACUAAAGCAAGAUCCAAGAAGAUUAAAGAAGCAAUUAAUGGGCUAAUUCAAGAGAUUUGGGUUGAUUCUAACGUAGGACAUUCCAAGCUUGGCCCAAAGGAAGAUGAAGGUGUAAUAAAUUUAAUCGAAGCUAUUGAGGGCUAAUCUGGCUUGAUUGGGCGUGAUUUAUGGCGUGGAUUAAUGACUGAUUGACUUUCGAACUCCAUAUCAGUUAAUAGACAUUUUUCCUAUUUUAGAGCUUCUAAUUUUAGGUUAAAUCUACCUUAAUUUUAGGCUUUUAUUAUUUAGAACGAUUUUUAGCUAUUUUCCUAUUUUGGAUUUGCUAAUUUCAGACCAACUAAACUUUUAUUUAGGGUUUUAAUAUUUAGUAAGUUUUUAUUUCAUGACAUAUAAAUAGCAUGCACUCAUUGUAAUAGAGGAUAAUUUGAUUGAAUAAAAAAUUAGAAAAGGUGAGGCUUUGCUCUUCUUUUGGUUCUUCAAGGACUAUGAACUUAUCAGGGAUUCUUCUUUGUGGCUUUCAAACUUUAUACUUUCGGUUCGUGAUUCCAUUGUAAUCAUUGGGUCAAGGUUGUUACUUAUACUUUUGGUUCACGUUUCACUUAUAAACGUUGGGUGUUCUAUCAAAAAUCUGUAUUUUAGCUUUCUUGGGCAAUUAUUCCAAUACUGUUUGUUGGGUCUCAAAGCGUGUCGAUUGAGGUUCACAUCAUUUGGUAUUAGAGCUCAGGUUCUAAAAUCAGUCGAUUGAGGUUCGCAUCACCACCUAUGCCAUAAGUCGCCUUUGAGUAAAAAGCUCACACCAAAGUCGAGAAAAUCGACUCCAAAACAGUGACCACAGGAAACCAACCCAUCCUAGUGAAUAAACCCUCGAAUCCGAAGUGCUCAAGUUGGGGAAAAUUAAUAUUUCUCCUCAGAACUACUCGUCCCAAAGCAAAGUGAUGUUUGUACCGUUGGUAGUCCACCACGAAGUUGAACAAGGCAGUAUCAAACCUUGCCUUUCGGGUUUGACAAGGUUCCAAAAGCUUGAAUCCUAAAUCCUUAAGAGGGUUUAUAUAGGAUUUCCUAUGGACUUAAGUGACUUGAGCCCAAAUUUGGCUUGAGUCACCCGAUCUAGCCCACUUGGGUCCUAAUUAAUUAAUUAUUUUAAUGGACUCCAAUUAAUUAAUUAGCUCAAAACACCAAUCUAGAAAAAUUGUUCAUAAGAUCUUGUGCAACCUUGUAUUUUUACUAAAACACCCUUAUGUGCCCUUAUGAACUACAAAUCUAAAUCUCUCAAAUAAAACAUGUCACCAUGAACUAGGAGCUCAAGCGGGGACCAUUGGGACCUAUAAGAUUAUAUUGGCUCCCUCAUAAUUGAAUUCCAAAAUUGAUUCGAGAAUCCACUAAAGAGAAACAAUUGUACUUCGGUAUCCUACAUUAAGACAAAGCUUAGGUUUGUAACCUACUAUUCAUUGCAUGCAAAUUCCUCAUGAAUUAGUGUUUGUAAUCUAAUAAGGUAGUGUUAUCAACCUAUCAAGAUUAGCUCUUUAAUCUUUAAGUUAUAAAUCCUCCUAUUAUGUGAUCAAUUGACAUACUCUAGCUUAUAAAGAACAUAUAUCAAAAUUCACUUAAAGAAUUACUACAACCACAUAUUUCAUAAUCAUAUGCCCUUUAGAUCAUCCAAGGGAACACUUUGUCCCAAUUCUAUGAGAUGCCAUGGUGCCUCUAUUGAGAAUAUGUAUUAUCACCAACCUCCAUCAACAAUUGCAAUUCAUAGGGAAUCUAUAUAUAUAAUCACUUUAGGGUCUUACCUAAUGGUCAAAACCUCCUAUUGAUUUUUAGCAUAGACUUAAUAUCUUCUUAAAGUUGAGAGUCCAUGCAAUAUAGUAACUUUGUGAAUCAUGACAACCCAAUGACCUUAUGUCAUGAUUCAUCAUAGGCACGAUUUGAAAUAUUGCAAAAUUUCAGCGAAAUAUCGUCGAUUUUUCGCUUAUCGGAGAGAAUCAACAUGACAUUCGUCAUUGAUAAUCAAUUGACGGAUUUAUUGCGGAUUUUUUUGGGAAUAUCGGUAAUAUUUUGGCAUUUAUCGACAUUUUUGCCUAUUUUUCGAAAAAUUUCCCGAUUUUUUGGUGCCAACCACUUUGGUCAACACGAAAUCAACCCUCACAUUUUUUGUUGUAAUGCCUAGGGGAUUUGAACCUAGGUCAAAAGGCUUGGGUUGAACCCUGGUUACAACUGGGCCAAAAUGUCAUUUGUAAAUAUAUGUUCAAUUUAAAUAUGUUAAAGUUCAGCAUUUAAAAAAUAAUUUUAAUUAUUUUAUUUUAAAUUUUAUGUAAUUGAUUAAUAAAAAUAUAAAAACCAACAUUAUAAUUUUUUUAACAAGUCUUUUUUUAUAUCAUUUAUAUGAUAAUUAAAUAUAAAAAAUAUAAAUAUUAAAAAAUCAUAUAUGUAUCAUCAUUUAUUUUACAUUAUUGAAUGCAUUUAAAUUAAAUAAAUUAUAGUUUUAAUAUUAAAUGUAUUAUUAUUGAUCUCAUUAAUCUUAUUUUAAAAAAUAAUUAUCACUUCACUUUUAAAUUUUUUAUAUUUAUUUGUUUAUUUUUUAAUAUCUUUAUUUUAAAAUAUUAAAAAUAUAAAUUUAUUCAAAAUAUACUAAAAUAUAUAUAAAAAAAUUAAUAAUGAAGUUCUAAUAUUUUAUAAAUUAAAAUUAAUUUGAUAAGAUAAAUAAUAAAUUAUAUAUUAUGAUUGAUAUAUCCUUGCUUAGAGAUAAUUUUCUCCUUAAUCAUACUUAUGUCAAUUAUACUUACAAAUUAACUUUAGCAUGUGCCUUUUUACUUAUUUUAUCAUUUUUUUUUGGAGUUUUUCCAAAUAUUUCAAUGAAUUUUGAAUAAUUUUCACCUCACCAAAAUUUUUGUCAAAAUAUUCACCAAUAUUUCUCCGAUAUUUUCAAUAUAAUCGUAAAAUUCAAGUAUCAAUAUAUCCAUAUUUUCCAAUAUUUCAAACCAUGAUCAUAGGUCUUGUCUUAUGUAUAACCAAUACACACUAGUGUACUCACAAUAGGAACCCUAUCUCAAUGGUCAAGAUAAGUCAUAUUUUAUAACCAUACACACUAGAUUUUAAAAGUGUGAGAUAAUGCUCAUAAAAAUAACAAAGUAGAGAAUUUGUUGAUAAUUAUUCCCAAAUAAAUGUCAUUAAAACAAUUUGAACUAGAAUUUAAAAUAAAAAGAUGUCACAUGGAUUAACCUAGGAUUUGAGAAAUUUGGCCUCAUCAUAGGCCAUACUACAAACCUUAGAUGAAUUUUAGGAGAAAAUGAGUAGAAGUUAGAAUAAUAAAACAGUUCUUUUAUUUUCCAAAACAAAAAAAUUGGAAAACACAUUUUACAAUCAAAAAAUAUUUUAUGCUUUUUGUUCUCAAGAACAGAAAACAAAGUGUUUCAGAUAAUAUCUUUUAGUUAUUUUAAUUAUUUUCACUUAUUUUUUUAGAGUUGUUUUAAAAAAUAAUUAUAGAAAUAUGUAUCAUGAUUAAAAAUAAAGCUCGAUCUAGAUAUAAAAAUAAUUUUUAAAACUUACUUAAAAAUAUUAAAACCAUUUCAAAUUCUCAAACAGACUUUUAGUUUACAAAACAUCAAAGAAUAGUUUUUAAAAAUUGUUCUUAAAAACUAUUUUUCAGAAUUAUUUCAAAAACAGUUAUCACACAGGUCCUUAAUUUCUAGCCUGUGAAAGAAGAGACAAAAAUGAGUAAUUUUGUUUAAUAUAAAUAAACAAAGAGUCAUGUGAAUAAAGGGAUCCUUGAUAUAACAACAAAAAUCAACCUUUCCAACUUCUCAAGUGAUUCUAUCUCUUUGUUGACCAUCGUGACAACCUUAAUCUCUUUUCAUUAGCAGUAGGAGUAAGGUAGAUUAGCAGUAGAUUCAUCAAUGGGGAAACCAUUUUAUGCUUGUUCCUAUCAUUUAGGUUUACAUCAAUGAGUGGUUUGGAGGGUGUACUACCUAUAGUCUAUUUAAAUUUGAGGGGAAAGGCUUUUAUCCUUUAAAGGACUUCUUGCCACCCUUCUUCAAUUUUGGGGAGAGUUCGAUCAAUAUUCAAUAACCAUUUAGCAUUAUUAUCCAAGGGGUCAUGGGAGAGAAGUUUCUCUAGCAUUGGUUAUGCCAUAUCCAAUAUACACAUCACUAGAGGGUGACAUUAUCCCAAUAAUCACAUCAUGCCCUUCAGUACCAGUAUAGUUUUGAUCAAUGCAAUUUGCUGUGAAUUUCUGUAGUGGUAGAAUUAUAGCCAGGAGGUUCUAGCCCCAGUAUCCACCAUAGGCCAGCAAAGUGAAUAAUCCUAGGAGAAUAAGCUCAGAAGCACAAGGAUUUGAUCAAUGGAACCUGGUUUUUUUUGUUUUAAUUUCUUUACUGAUAUAAUAAACCUUCUGUUUAUUUGGUUCGCUGUCAUUAUUAUAAUCUCUAGUAGUUGCACCAUCCUGGGUGAAUGAGCUAUUACCCCUACCAAUUGAACUUUUUUUUGGUUAUAGUCCUUGGUAUUCUCUUGGAAUUGACAACCAUUUGGAAAAUAAAAAUUCCUUUAUUUAGACAUAAAAAGAAUCCACAAGCAUGGACCAUUGCUAAAAGAAGAUUGAUAUGAGACUAUUCAACCCGAGACACUAUUUGCCUAGGUAUAUUUCGGGAUGGUGAUUAAUUCCUCUAAUAGGACUAGAACAAAUGGCUAAAUUGCUCUGAUAUGCUCACAUCUUUAAUCAAUAAGUUUACACUAAAUCAGUAUAACUCCCUACCAAAACGCUAGGUGAGAGAUCAGGGGCAAAGCUAGGUAGUGUCUGGGAGGGGCAAAUGAAAUUUUAAUAAAAAUAUUAGGGUUUAUUGCUAACUAUUUGGUUACUGGUGAAGUUCCAAGUGAGUGGAAAACACAAGACAGGAAGCACUUUUUUGCAAAGAUUCAUGCUUAUUAUUGGGAAGAGCCCUUCCUUUUCAAGUAUUGUGCAGAUCAGAUCAUAAGGAAGUGUGUCCCUGAAGAAGAGCAACAAGGGAUCCUCAGCCACUGCCAUGAGAAUGCCUGUGGAGGCCACUUUGCCUCUCAGAAAACAGCAAUGAAGGUCUUGCAAUCAGGGUUUACUUGGCCAUCGCUUUUUAAAGAUUCCCACAUCAUGUGUAGGAGUUGUGAUAGAUGCCAAAGACUCGGGAAGCUUACAAAAAGAAACCAAAUGCCCAUGAACCUGUGGACCCGCAUUUUUCACGUGCGUCCCCACUCGAUCGGCGAGACUCGCUUUUUAUUUAUUUGUGAAAAAUUGAUUUUUGAAAAAAAAGUUGGAGUCGCCACUUAUUUUAUUUUUAUUUUUGAAGGGAAAAUAAAACAAGAAAUAAAACCCUAAAAAAAAUGACUCCAUAAUUUUUGGAAAAGCGUGUCUUUGAAAACCCAAGUCUUGGUCCGGGGAUCAGGUUACUUAUUGGGAAGGUACCUCUAGGAGGUAACACCCCUCUAAGCCCUAAAGAGGUCUCUACUAAUUAAGUUAAGGGGAAUAUGGCAAUUAAUCGGUUAAUUAUGGAUACCUAAGUAGGCUAGGUGAUUUCAGAAAAUUUGCAUGCUAAACAAGAUCAAAUUGCCNNNNNNNNNNNNNNNNNNNNNNNNNNNNNNNNNNNNNNNNNNNNNNNNNNNNNNNNNNNNNNNNNNNNNNNNNNNNNNNNNNNNNNNNNNNNNNNNNNNNNNNNNNNNNNNNNNNNNNNNNNNNNNNNNNNNNNNNNNNNNNNNNNNNNNNNNNNNNNNNNNNNNNNNNNNNNNNNNNNNNNNNNNNNNNNNNNNNNNNNNNNNNNNNNNNNNNNNNNNNNNNNNNNNNNNNNNNNNNNNNNNNNNNNNNNNNNNNNNNNNNNNNNNNNNNNNNNNNNNNNNNNNNNNNNNNNNNNNAACAAAGAAUUAAGAUCAACUAAUGCAUUUAAAUUAAAAAUGAAUUGAAAUCAAACUAAUUGGGAUUAAAAAUACAAACUUUAUUCAAUACAAUUAUUUAAACUUAAGAAUUAAAAUCAACAAAAUACAUUUAAACUAAAAAAAAAAAGUUAAAAUCAAACUAAUUGGGAUUAAAAAUACAAACUUUAUUCGAUAUGAUUAUUUAAACUUAAGAAUUAAGAUCAAUAAAAUGUAUUUAAACUAAAAACGAAUUGGAAUCAAACUAAUUGAGAUUAAAAACAUAAACUUUAUUUAACGUGAUUAUUUAAAGUCAAGAAUUAAGAUCAACAAAAUACAUUUAAACUAAAAAACAAAUUAAAAUCAAACUAAUUGAGAUUAAAAAUACAAACUUUAUUCGAUAUGAUUAUUUAAACUAAAGAUUUAAGAUCAACAAAAUACAUUUAAACUAAAAAACGAAUUGAAAUCAAAUUAAUUGGGAUUAAAAAUACAAACUUUAUUUAACGUGAUUAUUUAAAACAAAGAAUUAAGAUCAACAAAAUAAAUUUAAACUAAAAAACAAAUUAAAAUCAAACUAAUUGGGAUUAAAAAUACAAACUUUAUUCGAUAUGAUUAUUUAAACUUAAGAAUUAAAAUCAUUAACAAACUUAAACUAAAAGAUAGAUUAGAAUUAAACUAAUUGGGGAUUUAAAAAUAAAAUAAUAUAAACUUUAACACAAAGAAUUAAUCAAAAACUAAAAUUUCCAAAAAAUAAAAAAAAAAAUAAAAAAAAAUCUAGGCUAAAUAAAAGUACUAUAUAGAAAACUAACCUUUGAAGUGAAAGAGAAAAUCCUCUCUUGAUGAUUAAAUGACAGCCCGAUCUCCGUUCGAAGUCCCUUGCUUUUUUCCCAAAAUUCCGUGUGCUCUGCCCCCCCCAAGAAAAAUCUCCUAUUCUUUUCCUUUUCUCACCUAUAUAUAUCACCCCUCAAGACCUAAAUUUGUUUCCAAAAAGGAAAAUUCUCCUCCUUCCUUUCUUCUUCUCUUCUUUUUUUAAAUCCUCCAAUCAAAAGCAAUCUUCCCAAUUUCAAAUUCCCCUCCAAAACCUUCCAAGGAGAGUCCCAUCUUCCUUAAACUCCAAUGGUAAGUUUCCUUGCAAAAACAUGAAAUUUUUGAAGUUAAAUAAUUGCAUGUAUAGAUAAAUAAGUAAAUAAAUUAAAAAAUGGUAAAAAUAAUAAAUAAAUAAAUAAGUUAAGGAAAAUAAUAUAAAGAGGAAGAUAACCAAUAAAAAGUGAAUGAUAAUCAUAAAAUUAAAAUUAAAAACAAAAUAAAUAAAUAAAUAAAUAAAAUAAAAUAAAAUAAAAUAAAAGUCUUCGUAGGCCUAGUGUGCCUAAACGGGCCUAAGGUGAGACUAAGUGGGCCUAGGGUAGUGCCUAAUGGGCCAAGUGUAUCUAAAAGCUAUCCUAAAAAAACAAGAAAAGCCUAAAUCUAAGUUAGGGCUGCCAAGGGUCACAAUAAGGGAUCAAAUAAUCCCUCAACCAAAAUCUCCGAGGUGACUCAGAAAAAGGUAAGUGGUAUGAGUAGCCAUGGGCCACCAAGGAACUAUUGUGGAGCAUUGAAAAUGAAUUUUAAAGACAUGUGCUAAAGGGACAAAAUUGAGGGUCUACAGAACCCCAUCCUUAUAGUUGAUCUUUUUGAUGUUUGGGGUAUUGACUUCAUGGGACUUUUCCCAAUGUCUUUUGGUAACUCUUAUAUAUUGGUGGGGGUGGACUAUGUUUCCAAAUGGGUGGAGACAAUCCCCUGUAAACAUAAUGAUCACAGGGUGGUUCUCAAAUUUCUCAAGGAGAACAUCUUCUCAAGAUUUAGGGUGCCCAAGGCCAUAAUCAGUGAUGGAGGUACUCAUUUUUGCAAUAAACCUUUUGAAGCACUAUUAGCCAAGUAUGGAGUGAAGCAUAAGGUAGCUACACCUUAUCAUCCUCAAACUUCCGGGCAAGUGGAGCUAGCAAACAGAGAAAUAAAAAACAUACUGAUGAAAGUGGUGAUUACAAGCAAAAAAGAUUGGUAUAUUAAGCUGCAUGAUUCAUUAUGGGCAUAUAGAACAGCUUAUAAGACUAUUCUUGGCAUGUCUCCCUAUCGUCUCGUCUAUAGCAAAGCAUGUUACCUCCCUGUGGAAGUUGAAUAUAAAGCUUGGUGGGCAAUCAAGAGGUUGAACAUGGACUUGAUCAGAGCUGGGGCAAAGAGGUGCUUAGACCUUAAUGAGAUGGAGGAAUUAAGAAAUGAUGCUUACAUCAAUUCCAAAGUUGCAAAACAGAGGAUGAAGAAAUGGCAUGAUCAGCUAAUCUCCAACAAAGAAUUGAGGAGAUGACAAAGAGUCCUACUCUACGACUCAAGGCUCCAUAUUUUUCCAGGGAAGCUCAAGUCAAGGUGAAUAGGUCCUUUCAUUAUUCACCAAGUACAUCUUAAUGGAGUGGUGGAAUUACUAAAUUCCAAUGGCAUAGAUACCUUCAGAGUCAAUGGUCAUCGCCUCAAGCCAUUCAUUGAGUCGUUCAAGCCAAAAAAUGAGGAAAUCAACCUCCUUGAGCCACAAAAAUCCUGAUCAGAGAAGGGUUAGAUGGACUUGGUUUCACCAAAGUCCAUAAUUUUGUUAAAUAUGUUAAUUUUUAAGUUUUGUAAAUUAUUUGAUUGUAAUUCUGAUCUUAAAUUAUGUUAAUUGUAACUAAUUUUUUUGAAUGAUUAAAAUCAGGAGGAAUUACAAGAAAAUCGAAAGAAGCUGCUCCCAGCUCCUCAGAGCCAUCACAGGCCCCUCUUUUUGUUAAUCAGCCUUUGCCUCAUUCAGAGCCUCCUAUAGGAGAGACAGCUAAGCCAUUAUUUCCACAGCAUCACUUCAUGUCACUCAGGAGGUACCACUUCCUCCCUAUUUUUCAAUUGCUUCUGUCACAUUGAGGACAAUGUUCAGUUUGGUUGGGGGGAGAGUUGAGGAAGGAAGUUUUUGUUAUUAAUGCUAAGUUAUUUUGGUAAUUUAGUUGCUUUUUGCUUAAUUUUAAAAUUUUUUAAGUUUUUAUUCUACUCUCCAUGGUUAUUAAGGAAAAAUUCUCAAAAAUGAAAUGAGAUAAAUUAAAUUUUUGUCUUUUUACUUGACUUAGAUUUUGUAUUAUGCUUACUAAAGUUGAUGAAUUGUUGAAACUUCUAUUGAAUUCAACCUUAAUUCUUCCACUUUAAGCUAUUCACACACUGUGCACAAUAGGUUCUGAUUAUAAGAUGAAGAACUAUUUCCCCCUUAACUUAGGAAAAUUUUAGACUUGGUACCUUUGACCUCAUUUAAUAGUGUUGGGACACCUUAUAAAAGGCCAAUGAGCCUUUGAAAAAAAGAAGAAAGAAAGAAAAAUGUUUACUUGCCUUGAAACCCGAGCAAGGUUUGAGGGGUAUAUGGUGAAAAUCUUAAAAACCUGGUGCCCUAAGCCUUCAGUGGUUGGGAGUCACCGACCUCAAUGCUCGUUACAAGGGUGGAUAGGUGGAGUUUAACAUACUGUAGGUGCUUGGGUAUUAAAAAUUCAUUCUCAAAAGUCCGGGGUAAAAUCCGAGUUAGUGGUUGAAAAAUCCUUAAAGCUUGAUGCCCUAAACCUUAAUUGGUUGGGAGUCAUCGAUGGACCCCCGUUACAUGGACAAUUUAGAAAAGAAUACCUUUAGCCUUGUACUCCUACAAUGAAAAAAAAAUUGUGAAAAAAGAGGUGCGUUCUUAGCCUAUUGGAGGUUGAUUAGUUUGCUAAGCUUUGAAAAAGAACUAGGUUGGGGGAGAGAUUAGUUUAACAUACUAUAUUCAGAAACUAAUAAAUAACACUUAGAUUUUUGUGGAAUAGUAAGGUUUGACCAUCUGGGAGUGGAAACUCUUUUAAAGCUUAAAUUUGCAUAAUGUCGUCUCUAUAAGAAUUGUGAUUAAGACAAGUUAUUUGAUAACUCUUGUUGAAGCUUGAGUUUUAUUUCUUUAAUGUUCCAUGUGAGAGUUAGAUCAUCAUGCCACUUGAAAAUUGUUUUUUGAUCAGCAUGAUGUUGUAAAUUAUAGUACUGUUUAUUUUUAUUUUUUUCUCUCCUUCAUUGCUAAGGGACUAGCAAUAUGUCGGUUGGGGGGAGUGAUUACUACUCAAAAAGUGCUAUUUCAUAGCUUGUAAUAAACUCUUUUAAACACUUUUGAGUAGUAGUUAUCACCUUUUAACCCAAUUAACAUCUUAAGGACCCUUGCAAUCAAUUCUAAUCAAAUUGUGUUAAGUUUUGGUGUUUUGAUAGCUUUUUUAUCACCAAAGCAAUCAGAGAUUGAGGAGAGUUCUUUAGAAUCCAUGACAAAAGAUGUUCGGACAGGGCGUCCGGACACACCAUUGGAGAGCAGCGGAGCGUGGGCUGUAGAAAGGCUUGCUCACUGUAGUCAAUGAUCCGGACAACAUAUCCGGAUAGGAUAUGCUAUCAUCCGGAGUGUGAUGUUCGUGAGUGCCGGAUAGCAUGGCGGCGCAUGUCCUCUUGGGGAAUCCGGAUGAAGUUGAGUCGGAUGGGUCCCUACACCUUACACACGCAGACAGUCCCUCUUGCGCAGCAUAGCUCAGUCCACCCGGGGAGGAAUUCUGUGCGCCAACAUUUCACAUCCGGAAUUCCGUGCGCCGACAUUUCACAUCCGGAAUUCCGUGUGCCGACAUUUUACAUCCGGAUAUCUCACAUCCGGAUGGGAGAGGAAGACGCUUCAACUUCUCCGGAUAUACAUAUCCGGACCUUUUGAUAACGCUUACCCACAGAGUUCUUCUCUCAGUAUACAGUGCAGCGGUGUUCUCCUGAAGCUUCCUGAUAUUUCCGACCGACAUUUUGAGAUAUUUUGGGAUAUUUUUCUUUAGAUAUUUGUUGUCUAAAUCCCCAAACUCUCCUUGUAAUCCACCUAUCAUAGGAUUCCUUAGUCUUUAAGCAAGAAAAAGGGUGAAUAACCUCAUAUAUAUAGUUUGUAAUUUUCUUUACAAAGAGAAUUAUUAUGUAAUCAGCAGAAGGAAGAAAUAUAUUUUACAGAGCACUUGCUCUGUUUUUCCUUCUUAUAAUUGUUUUCUCGUUAGUUUUCUUACUAGCCAAACAAGCUCUGAGGAAGUUUCCUCAGAGAAUGAGUGGCUAGACUUUUAGUUCCUUGGAGUUAAGGUUGCCGGGAAAGGUUCCAAGUGCAUGAAUUAGUAGCUUUGUGGUUUCAGCCAUUAAUGGAGAGAAAGUGUGAUCCUUUAAUGAUUUCUAUGUUUUUAGUUAACUUAAAACACUUUCAAUUCACUUGAGCCAACACUUGGUAAGGCAAGUGAGCUCCGUCCAUGGAGAUGCACUAGUUUACCUCUUGCGAGCUUUUGGGAAGUGACUUGGAGGUAGGAUUUUCUAGAAUUGCCAACACUUGGUAAGCUUUUGGACUCCAAGGAGACAUCCAUUAGUUAUCUCUUGCGAGCUUGAGAAGGGAAGUCCAAAGUUAAAGAUCACCUUGAAUGGCAAAUGCUAGGUGAGAGGCACGAGCCAUUGCAAGUUGCAUCAGUGAGAGGGAAUUAGAGCUGAAAUCCAUUUAAAUGAUACAUCUGUACAGCACUGGUUAGAGAAUUGACUAUAUGUUAAUUCUCUAAUGUGAGGAAAUGAACCAAAUGACCGGAGCUCUGUUUUUGCAUAAGGAACCUCCCCUGUGAACCUAAACCUCCAAGGAAUGUUUUUCUUCAUAAGUAAUUUCUAUUACUUUCUUUUUAGUUAGCUUUAAACAAAACCUCAUUUAAACAAAGUUUGUGUUUUAUUUCUUAAGCUAGCCUUGAAAUGAAAAAGCACCAAUUUACUUUGAAUUGGUAUCAGUUGUGAGUUGAAAGCCCUUCCUAGUGAACGAUCCUAGAGCCACUAUGCUAUAUUAGCUAAGCUAUCCUAAUGCAUGGUGAUAUAGGUUAUAAAUUUUGUUGAUUACUCUCUCAAUCAAAGAGCACCAGCUGGACAUGAAUCAACUGAGACACCAAUUGGGAAGGAAUCAGGAGGUGUGACCUGGGAUGCCAAUGGUCACGUUGUCGGUCUUGAUCUGAGUAGCGAAUCAAUUUCUGGUGGAUUCAAUAGCUCUAGUAGCCUUUUCAAUUUACAAUAUCUCCAGAGCUUGAAUUUGGCUGGAAACAGCUUCUGCGGAGGAUUGAACUGGCCUAACAACAACUUCUGCUCUUCUCAAAUUCCAUCAGGAUUUGACAGGCUUGCUAAUUUAAUUUAUCUGAAUUUAUCCAAUUCUGGCUUUUCUGGGCAGAUUCCAAAGGAAUUUUCGCUCUUGACUAGGUUGGUUACCAUCGAUUUCUCCAGCCUUGGUUAUCUCAUUGGAUUUCCUACACUGAAACUUCAGAAUCCAAAUCUGAGAAUGUUGGUUCAGAAUAUCAAGGAGCUUAGGGAACUUCAUCUUAAUGGUGUAGACAAUCAGCCGAGGGGAAGGAGUGGUGCCAGGCAUUGUCAUCUUCAGUGCCUAAUCUCCAAGUGCUUAGCUUGUCCAGCUGUCAUCUUUCAGGCCCAAUCCAUUCUUCCCUGCAGAAGCUUCGAUCUCUCUCAAGGAUUCGUCUGGAUGACAACAAUUUUGCUGCUCCAGUUCCACAGUUCCUCGCUAGCUUCUCAAAUUUGACUCACUUGCAGCUCAGUUCUUGUGGAUUAACUGGAACGUUUCCAGAAAAGAUCAUUCAGGUAACAACCCUACAGAUUCUUGAUUUGUCAAUUAACUUACUUGAAGAUUCUUUGCCAGAAUUCCCUCAAAAUGGAUCUCUAGAAACAUUGGUGCUUUCGGAUACAAAACUUUGGGGGAAACUACCCAACUCCAUGGGAAAUCUUAAGAAGCUGACUAGCAUAAAGCUGGCACGUUGCUAUUUCAGUGGCCCAAUCCUAAACUCAGUGGCAAACCUUCCUCAACUGAUUUACUUGGACUUGUCUGAAAAUAAGUUUUCCGAUCCAAUUCCAUCUUUUAGUUUGUCCAAGAGACUCACCGAAAUAAACCUUUCCUACAAUAAUUUGAUGGGUCCAAUUCCUUUCCACUGGGAAAAACUUGUUAAUUUAAUGAAUCUUGACCUGCGGUACAAUGGAAUUACAGGAAAUCUCCCCCCGUCCCUGUUUUCCCUCCCAUCCUUGCAGAGGUUACGACUAGACAACAACCAAAUUUCUGGUUAGUUCAAAAUUCUUUUAAAUGCAUCUUCUUCUAGAUUGAGCACCCUUGGUUUGAGUAGCAACAAUCUCGAAGGCCCGAUACCUAAUUCUGUCUUUGAACUGCGGUGUCUUAGCUUCCUUGACCUAUCUUCCAACAAAUUCAAUGGAAAGAUUGAACUCAGCAAGUUUAAAAAACUUGGGAAUCUUACUGAUCUUAGCCUUUCAUACAACAACCUGUCCAUCAAUGCAACCCUUUGUAAUCUGUCCCCUUCUAUACUGCCUAUGUUUACAACAUUAAGGUUGGCUUCUUGCAGGCUGACAACUUUACCUGAUCUUAGCGGCCAGUCAAGCUUGACACAUUUAGACCUUUCCCAAAACCAAAUUCACGAGAACAUACCUAGUUGGAUUUGGAAGAUUGGUAAUGGCUCUCUUGUGUAUUUGAAUCUCUCUCAUAAUUUACUGGAGGAUCUCCACGAACCUUUCUCUACUUUUACUCCUUAUCUGUCCAUCCUUGACCUACAUUCCAACCAGCUCCAUGGCCAAAUCCCC